rnacentral:rRNA from 1 species
UACGUAGGGUGCGAGCGUUAAUCGGAAUUACUGGGCGUAAAGUGUGCGCAGGCGGCCGGGCAAGUCGGGUGUGAAAGCCCCGAGCUUAACUUGGGAACUGCGCUCGAAACUACUUGGCUAGAGUGUGGCAGAGGGAGGUGGAAUUCCACGUGUAGCGGUGAAAUGCGUAGAGAUGUGGAGGAACACCGAUGGCGAAAGCAGCCUCCUGGGCCAACACUGACGCUCAUGCACGAAAGCGUGGGGAGCAAACAGG